rnacentral:pre_miRNA from 1 species
UUUAUAUUUCUUCCGUCCCAAAUUACUUUUUUUAGAUUUGUCUAGAGACAGAUAUAUUUAGACAUGUCUUAGUGUUACAUAUGUUUGUAUUUAGAUAAAUUUAAGACAAGUAAUUUGGGACAAAGGUAAUAUCAA